GUGAGUAAUGCAUAGGAAUCUACCUAGUAGUAUGGAAUAGCUAUUAGAAAUAAUAGGUAAUACUGUAUAAUCCCUGCGGGGGAAAGAUUUAUCGCUAUUAGAUGAGCCUACGUUAGAUUAGCUAGUUGGUAAGGUAAUGGCUUACCAAGGCUGUGAUCUAUAGCUGGUCUGAGAGGACGAUCAGCCACACUGGAACUGAGAUACGGUCCAGACUCCUACGGGAGGCAGCAGUGGGGAAUAUUGGACAAUGGGCGAAAGCCUGAUCCAGCUAUGCCGCGUGAGUGAAGAAGGCCUUCGGGUUGUAAAGCUCUUUCAAUAGGGAAGAUAAUGACGGUACCUAUAGAAGAAGUCCCGGCAAACUCCGUGCCAGCAGCCGCGGUAAUACGGAGGGGGCAAGCGUUGUUCGGAAUUAUUGGGCGUAAAGGGCACGUAGGUGGACUAGUAAGUUAAAAGUGAAAUACCAAAGCUUAACUUUGGAGCUGCUUUUAAUACUGCUAGACUAGAGGUCGAAAGAGGAUAGCGGAAUUCCUAGUGUAGAGGUGAAAUUCGUAGAUAUUAGGAGGAACACCAGUGGCGAAGGCGGCUAUCUGGUUCGAUACUA
rnacentral:rRNA from 1 species